rnacentral:rRNA from 1 species
AGAACGAACGCUGGCGGCAGGCCUCAAACAUGCAAGUCUAGGGGGCGUAGCAAUACGUCACCGGCGGACGGGUGCGUAACACGUGGGAAUGUACUUACUGGUUCGGAACAACUCAGGGAAACUUGAGCUAAUACCGAAUGUGCCCGAAAGGGGAAAGAUUUAUCGCCAGUAAAUCAGCCCGCGUCCGAUUAGCUAGUUGGUGGGGUAAAGGCCCACCAAGGCGACGAUCGGUAGCUGUUCUGAGAGGAAGAUCAGCCACACUGGGACUGAGACACGGCCCAGACUCCUACGGGAGGCAGCAGUUGGGAAUCUUGGACAAUGGGGGAAACCCUGAUCCAGCCAUGCCGCGUGAGUGAUGAAGGCCUUCGGGUUGUAAACUCUUUCGACGGGGACGAUAAUGACGGUACCCGUAGAAGAAGCUCCGGCUAACUUCGUGCCAGCAGCCGC